rnacentral:rRNA from 1 species
CCUACGGGAGGCAGCAGUGGGGAAUUUUGGACAAUGGGCGAAAGCCUGAUCCAGCAAUGCCGCGUGAGUGAAGAAGGCCUUCGGGUUGUAAAGCUCUUUUGUCAGGGAAGAAACGGUGUUUUCUAAUACAGAAUGCUAAUGACGGUACCUGAAGAAUAAGCACCGGCUAACUACGUGCCAGCAGCCGCGGUAAUACGUAGGGUGCAAGCGUUAAUCGGAAUUACUGGGCGUAAAGCGUGCGCAGGCGGUUUUGUAAGUCUGACGUGAAAUCCCCGGGCUCAACCUGGGAAUUGCGUUGGAGACUGCAAGGCUAGAGUUUGGCAGAGGGGGGUAGAAUUCCGACGUGUAGCAGUGAAAUGCGUAGAUAUGUGGAGGAACACCGAUGGCGAAGGCAGCCCCCUGGGUCAAGACUGACGCUCAUGCACGAAAGCGUGGGGAANCAAACAGGAUUAGAUACCCUGGUAGUCCACGCCCUAAACGAUGUCUACUAGUUGUCGGGUCUUAAUUGACUUGGUAACGCAGCUAACGCGUGAAGUAGACCGCCUGGGGAUACGGUCGCAAGNUUAAAACCUCAAAAGGAAUUGAACCGGNUAGAGACGNGCGAGACGACGACGAGGAGAGG